rnacentral:rRNA from 1 species
UACGUAGGGUGCGGGCGUUAAUCGGAAUUACUGGGCGUAAAGCGUGCGCAGGCGGUUUUGUAAGCCAGAUGUGAAAGCCCCGGGCUUAACCUGGGAAUGGCAUUUGGGACUGCAAGGCUUGAGUGUGGCAGAGGAGACUGGAAUUCCUGGUGUAGCAGUGAAAUGCGUAGAUAUCAGGAGGAAUACCGAUGGCGAAGGCAGGUCUCUGGGCUGACACUGACGCUCAUGCACGAAAGCGUGGGGAGCAAACAGG